GUGGCUUCGGGGCCUGAAACCCCAGGCUUGGCUUGUUUGAUGUUUAGCAUCCCAAAGCAGCACACCACCCCCGCCCCAGCCGGGGAGCCCGGAGCUGUGCGUCGCGGAGGGAGGAAAGCCGCCCUCUCAGUCGGCCGGGCCGGGGCCUGGGCUGGGUUCAGGGAAGGCGAGAAGAGCGGGACAGAGAUGCGCUGAGCCGGGCAGAAGGGAGUCGGGGCUGCCGCCGCCCCCAACAGAGACACUUGUUCUGUUUCUUCAGGAUCAGAGAGAGACUGAUUGAAUGGCUCCAAUUAUCAGGAUUUGAAAACCUAAUAUCAGAAUCCACCACUGUGUGUAAGUCAGCCCUGAGCAGUCUCUUCUUUAGCAACAGGACACUUGCACAAUAUGGGAGCAUCUUUUCUUCUUCACUUGUCCCUGACCUUGUAAAAUAUGAUACAAAGUUUGUCAUGAUUUUUAAGUCUCAUGCAUGGAAAAUCUUGCUGAAAAGAUACGAACUAAAAUGCAUUCCUUAAAAGAUGUGUGCAGCCUGGCAUUGGGAUUGGUGACUGUGAUGGCCAGCCAGGCUGCUCUUUCCACGGUGGCUUUGUGGUUCUUGGAAGAGACAUUAUGAGCAAUCUCGGCACAGUAAGAUCUGUUGCACAUCAGCAGCACUUCAAGCUCCUUGACGUUGUGGACUAGGAACUUCCAGAAGCUACUGGGCAGUGUGCACUUUGUUUUCUUGUUGCUCCUGUAAGCAAUGUUGGUGGGCAUCAAGAUCUGUUCCUUGAAUCUUCUGUUGUACCCUAUUGUCAGUGCCUCUGCAGUUCCACCAGUUGCACUGAUUUUGACAUACUGGUCUUUUUAACAAUCUUGGGCUUCACCAGAGGUCUGAGGGCAGCCGUCAUGCCAAGUAGGAGAUGACUGCCACCUCCACAGGCAGCGUCAAGGGGCAGCUGGAGAAUUUUUACUGUAAUGGUUAUUCUGUGUCAAAAAUGAUCACUAAGCCCUAAAAUCUAUGCACCAUAGGAAGCUAAGAAUUAAUAGGUUGGCUAUAACUGAACGUUUUAAUUAUAAAAUCAAAACAGCAUAUAAAGUUUAAAAAUUUUACUCUCUUUUCUCCUAGCCCCCGCCAUCCCAUUCUCCAGGAGUAACCAUUAAUAAGUCUCUCAUAUAUUUUAAUAGACUUUUUAGAUUUUUUAAAAAAAUAAUUUCUACAACCAAUGGUUGGGCGUGAACUCACAACCCUGAGAUCAAUAGUCACACGCUUUACCGACUAAGCCAGCCAGAUGCCUUAAUUGAUAGACUUAAAAUUCAUAUGCAAGCAUACAUUAUUUUAAGUCACAAAUAAAAUCAUAUAAUAUAUUUACUAUUCUGAAUUUGCUUUUUAUUCAUUUAGCAAUGUAUUUUGGCUAUCAUUCCAUUCCCUACACAUGGGUCUACUUCAUUCUUCUACCAGCUGCACAGAUAUCAAAUAAUAUGCUAUUAUGGAUAUAACCAUUCCCAUAUUGAUGGAUACUUGUUAUUUUUUUAGUCUUGUUUUUUCAAAUAAUACUUCAGCAAACAUAUGCAUAUUUUUGUGUGCUUUUAUAAGUGUAUUUGUAGAAUUAAUUGCCCAAAGGAAAAUGCUAUAUAAAAACACACAAGUUUUGAAUGAUAUUGCCACCUUAUUGAUACAACCAAAGAGGUUGCAUCAAUUUACCUUUCACUGGAAGUUUUUGAGAGGCAGGGAUUUUUAAAAAGGGCUUCACUGAGUUCCACGUGUUACAUAUCUGCCCUCCAUUCCAUCUCUUCAAACUUGACUAAAAAUGGUUGAAGAGCAGCUGGGAUGGUUCAUGAUGACCUAAUGGAAAGAGAACACUCCUGUGACAUCUGUGCUGGGACAGCAGUGAGGGCUGAGGAGGGGACAGCACAGGAACACUGGGGGUAAGAGCUGGGAAGUAUGGCUGCCAUGGGUUUAGGAAUGGUCUGAGUUCUCACCACGUCUCUUUGCUAUCAGCCUUCCUGACAAGUGUGGGGGCUGCCGAGCAGAAUCAGGAGCCAGUCACACGAUUGUCAUAAAAAUGGAGAAGAAGGUAAAAUGGGACCAUGUCACAUAUACACAUUCACAUACGCACACACACGCACACACACACAUACAGUCUCCCUCUCUGCUCAAAUUCACAUUCGGGUAUGCAUCUACCUUUACACCCUGUCUUGGCCAGGCUGCUAGCAAAGUACUGUUCUCUGACCUUCCCAGCUCAUCUUUACCAGGCAGGAGUCCUCCAGGUUUUCUCCCUAUUUUACCAGUCAGCUUCUCUGAGUGUGAAUAACCCAGAAAAUACACCUGACAUUGUCCUAGUUCCUGGAUUUGAUGAGACAUCCUCAUCCUUGAAACCUCCACUCCUUAUUCAGUAUUUUCAUUUGGCCUGGCAUUUUAUGUCCCAUUUUCAUCCUUAAAUAGAAACUUAGAAGUGCCUCUUGAUCUAUACCCUAGAUCUCAGCCUUUUAAAUUGAGGGGUUACUUUAAUGUUCUCAAGGUUAUAGUUACACUAGGAAGUUUAUUUUGUAUUCAGUAUUAACAUGCUAGGUACUGUGGUAGGGACUGUGGAUGCAAAGAUGAAUGAGACAAAGUUCUGCCUUCUAGAAGCUCAUAAAAUACUGAGAAGACAGGCAGCACUAACUAAAACACAGGCCAUUCUUUGAUAAGUGUUAAAACAGAGGUAUUUGAUCAAAAUUCUAUGAAGUCCCACUUCUGGAAAUGUAUCCUACACAUUCAUACAUACUUGUGCAUGUACAAAAGGACACACAGACCAGAGUCAUUCACUGCAGCUUUGUUUGUGAUGGUAAGAGUUAAAAAACAUCCUGAAUGUCUACCAACAAGGACACUCUAUGUGGUUUAAUAAAUGCUCUCUAUAUACUGAUAUGGAGUAAUCUUCAGGAUAUCUUUUUAUAUGAAAAAAAGAAAACUCCAGAAUAUGUGGAAUAUAUGUUGCCUUCCAUAUAAGAAAUGUAGAAAUAUAAGAAUAUGUAUUAAUGUUCGCUUUAUAUGCAUGAAAACAUUGGGAAAUCCCUUAAGAAACCAAUGCAAGUGCUAAUCUAUGGGGUGGGGGUGGGCAUCAGGG